AGAGUUUGAUCAUGGCUCAGAACGUACGCUGGCGGCACGCCUAACACAUGCAAGUCGAGCGGGGUAGCAAUACCUAGCGGCAGACGGGUGCGUAACAUGUGGGAAUCUGCCUUUUGGUUCGGAACAACAUGGGGAAACCUGUGCUAAUACCGGAUAAGUCCUAACGGAGAAAGUUUUAAUGCCAAAAGAUGAGCCCGCAUUUGAUUAGCUUGUUGGUGAGGUAAAAGCUCACCAAGGCUAUAAUCAAUAGCUGAUUUGAGAGGAUGAUCAGCCACACUGGGACUGAGAUACGGCCCAGACUCCUACGGGAGGCAGCAGUGGGGAAUCUUGCACAAUGGGCGAAAGCCUGAUGCAGCGAUGCCGCGUGAGUGAAGAAGGCCUUUGGGUUGUAAAGCUCUUUUGUCGGGAAAGAUAAUGACUGUACCCGAAGAAUAAGGUCCGGCUAACUUCGUGCCAGCAGCCGCGGUAAUACGAAGGGACCUAGCGUAGUUCGGAAUUACUGGGCGUAAAGAGUAUGUAGGCGGCUAGAUAAGUUAAUUGUGAAAGCCCAAAGCUUAACUUUGGAACUGCAAUUAAAACUAUUUAGCUGGAGUAUGAUAGAGGAAAGCGGAAUACAUAGUGUAGAGGUGAAAUUCGUAGAUAUUAUGUAGAACACCAGUUGCGAAGGCGGCUUUCUGGAUCAUUACUGACGCUGAGAUACGAAAGUAUGGGUAGCGAAGAGGAUUAGAUACCCUCGUAGUCCAUACCAUAAACGAUGAUUAUUAAAUGUGGGGAAUUAUUUCUCUGUAUUAUAGCUAACGCGUUAAAUAAUCCGCCUGGGGAGUACGACCGCAAGGUUAAAACUCAAAUGAAUUGACGGGGACCCGCACAAGCGGUGGAGCAUGUGGUUUAAUUCGAAGCAACGCGCAGAACCUUA
rnacentral:rRNA from 1 species